AUGCGAGAAAGCCAACCUGCUGGCUCAGAGUUGCCCAGCCUCCAGCUGUUGGGCCCACAACCGGCGCGAGGAAGUUCCCUUGCCUUCGCACUUGGCCCAGCAACCCAGCUAUUGUCAGAGGACCUGUUAGAAAUUGAAUGGACCACUCCGAAUCACGUUCCUGCCACCUGCCACUUCGGAAGACUGCCUAACCGCCUUGGACCGUCUGGGCCAGCCAGGGAAGGGCCUGAGCUUGUCACAUCCCCCCCAGGGUCACCGAUUUGGAUAGCUUCCAGGGUUCACGUGCCUAGCAGCCAAAAUGACACUUCUGCCCCAGCAGCCUGUUUUCCACAUGCUUCCUUUCUGUUCUGAAACCAAAGCAAACUCACAGAUGAAUGAGACCAAAUGUAUUUCCCCCAGACCAAAAUUGUGAGAAAAAAGUAAUAAAUGCAUAUUCUGAUAUCUGGUAAACUAAUAC
ensembl:lncRNA